rnacentral:sRNA from 1 species
GCUGGAUGUGGUAGUGCAUGCCUGUAGUCCCAGCUACUUGGGAGGCUGAGGCGAGAGGAUUGCUUGAGCCUGGGAGGUCGAGGCUGCAGUGAGCCAUGAUCAUGCCACUGCAGUCUUGCCUGGGUGACUCAGCAAGACCCUGUCUCAA